rnacentral:misc_RNA from 1 species
ACAAACUUGGUCAUUUAGAGGAAGUAAAAGUCGUAACAAGGUUUCCGUAGGUGAACCUGCGGAAGGAUCAUUAUUGAAUAAACCUGAUGUAGUUGUGCUGGCUCUCUCGGGAGUAUGUGCACGCUCAUCAUCUUUAUAUUUCCACCUGUGCACCUUUUGUAGACCCAGGCGACUUGAGUAAUCAAGUCAAUUGAGUCUAUGUCUUAUCAUAUACCCCAUAGUAUGUCUUUGAAUGUAUCAAUGGGCUUUGAUGCCUAUAAACAUUAUACAACUUUCAGCAACGGAUCUCUUGGCUCUCGCAUCGAUGAAGAACGCAGC